UUCCCUCCCAACACAGAAAGCCACCCAUGAUGACCUCUGGAGCAGAGAGAAAUCCAUUUCUAUGUUCAUUCGAGCCGUUGACCUGUCUACUGAGAAGUCCUGCAAGGAUGAAAAUACCCUAAUUACCUAAGGAUCCUUGUGAUGAUUUCAAAGAACAAUCCACCUUGGGAAAAAAAGGCUAUGUUGUAGCUCACUUACUACCUUUUUGGGGAAUCAGAAGAAGAAAGCCAAUUCCCACCCAGAAAACCUAAUCUGAUACCCUGCCGCCUGGCUCAAGGCAGUAGGCUGAGGUCAGGAUCCAGCUGCUGGGCAAGAGGAGAAUACAACAAAAUGCUGGACGGGCCCAAAUAAAGAGGACUAUGGACACCAGAAACA